GAUGAACGCUGACAGAAUGCUUAACACAUGCAAGUCAACCUGUGGCGGACGGGUGCGUAACGCGUAAAGAACUUGCCUCACAGCUAGGGACAACAUUUGGAAACGAAUGCUAAUACCUAAUACUGUGGGAGAGCUUUGCGUCACAUUAGCUAGUUGGAGAGGUAACGGCUCACCGAGGCGAUGAUGGGUAGCCGGCCUGAGAGGGUGAUCGGCCACAAGGGGACUAGGGCACGGCCCUUACGCCUACUGGAGGAAGCAGUGGGGAAGAUUGGAAGAUGGACCGAAGUCUGAUGAAGCAAUUCUGUGUGCACGAUGAAGUUUUCGGAAUGUAAAGUGCUUUCAGUUGGGCAGCGGUACCAACAGAAGAAGUGACGGCUAAAUACGUGCCAGCAGCCGCGGUAAUAC
rnacentral:rRNA from 1 species